rfam:Ictidomys tridecemlineatus contig065392, whole genome shotgun sequence.
GGGGUUGUGGCUCAGUGGUAGAGUGCUUACUUGGCUUGUGUGAAGCCCUGGGUUCAAUUCUCAGCAUCUCAU